rnacentral:rRNA from 1 species
GCUUACGGCCAUUCCACUCUGAACACGCCCGAUCUCGUCAGAUCUCGGAAGCCAAGCAGGGUCGGGCCUGAUUAGUACUUGGAUGGGAGACCGCCUGGGAAUACCAGGUGCUGUAAGCU